GUUAGGAAUAUUGGACAAUGGGCGCAAGCCUGAUCCAGCCAUGCCGCGUGAGUGAUGAAGGCCUUCGGGUUGUAAAGCUCUUUAGCCGAUGAUUAUAAUGACUGUAGUCGGAAAAUAAGCCCCGGCUAACUUCGUGCCAGCAGCCGCGGUAAUACGAAGGGGGCGAGCGUUAUUCGGAAUCACUGGGCGUAAAGCGUGCGUAGGCGGCUUUGCAAGUUGGGAGUGAAAGCCCAGGGCUCAACCCUGGAAUUGCUCUCAAAACUGCAAGGCUCGAAUUCGGGAGAGGAUAGCGGAAUUGUCAGUGUAGCAGUGAAAUGCGUAGAUAUUGACAGGAACACUAGUGGCGUAAGCGGCUAUCUGGACCGAUAUUGACGCUGAGGCACGAAAGCGUGGGGAUCAAACAGGAUUAGAAACCCCGGUAGUCC
rnacentral:rRNA from 1 species